rnacentral:tRNA from 1 species
GGGGCUGUAGCUCAGUGGUAGAGUGCUCAGCUAGCACAUGUGAGGCACUGAGUUCCAUCCUCAGCACCA